UGAUGAACAAAAAAUCUAUAAGGCUAAAACCAGUAGGGAUUUUAGCAGCAAAGGCAACAGUGUAUCAACACAGACAGAACAUGAAAUGGGAAGCAAUCAAGUGCAGGAGGAUUCUAGGCCGUCUUCGAAUUCGAAUUCGGAAAUUCUGAAAAGUAUGAACAUAGCAGCAGAUAUUAGAGAUCAAAGCGUUGAAAAUGAUCGUCCUAGUGGGAGGAUCAAAGCAGCUGCGGUUUUAAUGCAAUUGAUUGCUUGUGGAUCAAAGAGAGUCAAGGAUUUGGAAUCAAUGGAAAUUAGGGGUUGAUGAGUUGAUGAGAGAAACUAGUAAUAUGCUAUGAAUCAUGAUGCAAAAAUGGUUAAAAUGUUCUCUUUUUUCAGUUUCAUGAAGGUAAAAAGAAAAUGUUGCCUACACCAUCUUCUGUAACACCCCCACGUCUGAAACCGUCACCGGAGUCAAGCUUGAGAUGUUACUAAACUUAUCUUACCUUUUAAACAACUCUAAACCACUUAUUUUAAUUUUCGAAAUAAACUAUUUUUCUGCGUCAUGGUCGCUUAAAAAUUCAUUUCUCGAGUUUCAAAACUCAAAAUUAAGAUCCGUAAACUUUUCCUGAAAUUAGACUCAUAUAUCUAUCUACUAUUUUUUUUUCUAGAAUUUUUGACUUGGCCAAUUAAUACAGUUUAUUAGUUAAAGUUUCCCCUGUUUCAAAACUCGACUGCACUGACCUCUUCUUACUACAAACCAUGUUUCUUCCUAUACGAAAUUCAUAUGACUAAGCCGUUUGUUUCUAUUAAAACUAGACUCAACAAGGAUUCUAACCAUAUAAAUUAAACCUUCUAAUUAGUUUUUUACAAUUUAUGGUGAAUUUCCAAAGUUGAAAUAGGGGAUCCAGAAAUCGCUCUGACCCUAUUUCACUAAAACUCAGAUAUCUCAUAAAAUAUAAUAUCUUUACCUAUUUUGCUUAUUCCAUAAGAAAAUAUACAUAAUAAGAUUUAAUUUCAUAUAUUAUUCAUCUUCAAAAUAUGUUUCUACAAUUUUUAGUGAUUUUUCAAAGUUACGUCAUUUCUGUUACUUUCACAUUUUUCAUAAUUUUCAUGUGAUAAUCACCAUUCAAUCAUACAUAUUAAUAAACAUGUAUAUCAUCGGCCAUUUUAUUAGCUAAUCACUAGCAAGUAUUUACACAUCAUUCAUUGUUCAUAUUAUACCAAAAGUAGCUAAGUUUCUAUACAUGCCAUACCCAAAACAAAACGUCUAAUUAUACCGAGUUAUUUCUUUGAUAGUGUGAUCAGCCUCUGACGUUUCCUUCGAUCCCCAAGUGGCUAGAUAAGCACUAUAAGAAGAAGAAAAUAAAGAGAUUAAGCACUAGGCUUAGUAAGCUUACAAGCAAGUAAAUCACAACAUUCAACAUAAUGGAUAAUUAUGCAUAAUAUCAUCUAACAUCAUAAAUUUCUUUACUUCUCAAUUUCUAUCUUCUUCUUUAUUCCCUUACCUUCUUUCUUACCUGACCUUUCCUUUUUCAUAAAUAUAAUCUACUUUUCCUUUACUGUUAAUUCAGUUUAAUUUAACUCGUACCCUGACCCGUUGAACCACUCGGAAUAUUAAGAAUACUAGGGUCGUUCCUGUCUUUCAAUAUCCUGCCAAUGCCAUGUCUUUGACAUGGACUUACAUGAAUUAUUCCUGUCUCCAAUGCCAUAUAUAAUAUGGACUUACAUGGCUCAAUCCUGUCUCCAAAGCCAUAUUUCUAAUAUGAACUUACAUGGCUCAUUUCUGUUAUGUCUUGUCAACCCUAAUAUCCUAACAUUCCUAGGGUUCAACCAGGGCUUUCUAACACUUUUCGUCUAUCACUUCACCUUAAAUUCGACUUUAAAUAUUUUCAUAACAUAAAUAUAUAAAUGCUGGAAAUUGAAAAUAAUAAUGUAAAAUAAAAUAAUAUUGCAUUUAUUUGCUGUAACUUACCUUGAUACAAAAUGUGACUAAACUUUACAAUUUAGUCCUUCACUUUUUCUUUUCCCCGAUCUACUCCCAAAUUUCGUUCUUCUUGAUCUAUAAUAGCAAAUUUAACUUAUUUAAUAUUCACAUUUAUUAAAACAGUCCGUGACCCAAACUUUAGAAAAAUUAUAUUUUUACCCCUAAACUUUCACAUAUUUGCACUUUUGCCCCAAGGCUCGUAAAUUAAACUUCAUCCUAUUUUCUUAUGUUUUAUGACAUGCUGAUCAUUUUUCCCUUCUAUGGCAAUAUCAAAAUCACACUCUAACAUAUACUUAUGAGUAUUGGUAUUUUUUUUCCGAUUUAAGCCUUUUUACUCGUUUUCACUUAAAAUCAAGUAGCAUAAGUUGUUUAACAUAAUUUAAAACCUCAUAUUCUAUCAUAAAACACUAAAAUACACAAAUUUCAGCUAUGGGUAUUUUUCCAAAUAUGAACCCUAGGUUUAAUUAUUGCUAGAAUAAGCUUAAUCAAGUUACCGGGACUCCAAAAACGUAAAGAUCAUUAAAAACGGGGCUUAGAAUCACUUACUAUGAGGCUUGAAAGUUGAAGAAACCCCAGCUAUGGAGGAGAGCAAAAAUCGGCAGAAACUAAUUGAGAAGAUGACCAUUUUUGUGUUAUUUUUCCCUUUUU
rnacentral:lncRNA from 1 species